rnacentral:rRNA from 1 species
UACGGAGGGUGCAAGCGUUAUCCGGAUUCACUGGGUUUAAAGGGUGCGUAGGUGGCCAACUAAGUCAGACGUGAAAUCCCUCGGCUUAACCGGGGAACUGCGUCUGAUACUGGAUGGCUUGAGUGUGGGAGAGGGAUGCGGAAUUCCAGGUGUAGCGGUGAAAUGCGUAGAUAUCUGGAGGAACACCGGUGGCGAAGGCGGCAUCCUGGACCAUUACUGACACUGAAAAGCGAAAGCCAGGGGAGCAAACGGG